AUGCUCUCAGGACACAUGCCUGGAGGUGCCCAUGGGAUCCUCUCGCUGUUGACCGUCGUCUUCGUCCUCCCAGAGGUGUCCGGACUCCAGUGUUAUGGCUGCAACAUUAUCGUUGGCACCAAAAACGUGGACAUGGGGUGCUCCAACCCAGAGGUGAUCACCUGCUCCCACUCCCACCAGGGCUUCAAACACCGGUUCUGCAUUAAGACAGAGAGUGUGGUCCUGGGCAUCCUGCUGACCAGCGGCUGUGCCACCUCCCGUCACUGCCAGCAGCAGGAGCUGCCGGGGGUCCGCAUCCACUGCUGCGACACAGACCUCUGCAACGGCUCCCCCCAAGCCCCCCGGCCACCCCCUGGCCUCGCUGGUGGCCACCUCCUGCUGCCCUGCAUCCUCGCUGCGCU
rnacentral:lncRNA from 1 species